rnacentral:tRNA from 1 species
GGAGGGCUCGCCUAGUGGCCGAUGGCGGCAGUCUUGAAAACUGCUAGGGGUUCACGCUCCUCGAGGGUUCGAAUCCCUCGCCCUCCGC